UACGAAGGGGGCUAGCGUUGUUCGGAAUUACUGGGCGUAAAGCGCACGUAGGCGGAUUGUUAAGUCGGGGGUGAAAUCCUGGAGCUCAACUCCAGAACUGCCUUCGAUACUGGCGAUCUCGAGUCCGGGAGAGGUGAGUGGAACUGCGAGUGUAGAGGUGAAAUUCGUAGAUAUUCGCAAGAACACCAGUGGCGAAGGCGGCUCACUGGCCCGGUACUGACGCUGAGGUGCGAAAGCGUGGGGAGCGAACAGG
rnacentral:rRNA from 1 species